UCAACAUGAGGGGCAAGCGCAAAAAGCGC
rnacentral:sRNA from 1 species